AAAAGAGCAGAAGCUCUGAACUAUCCGUUCAGACCCCAGUCCUACCUACAUACAGGUUAUAGAAAAGAGCAGAAGCUCUGAACUAUCCGUUCAGACCCCAGUCCUACCUACAUACAGGUUAUAGAAAAGAGCAGAAGCUCUGAACUAUCCGUUCAGACCCCAGUCCUACCUACAUACAGGUUAUAGAAAAGAGCAGAAGCUCUGAACUAUCCGUUCAGACCCCAGUCCUACCUACAUACAGGUUAUAGAAAAGAGCAGAAGCUCUGAACUAUCCGUUCAGACCCCAGUCCUACCUACAUACAGGUUAUAGAAAAGAGCAGAAGCUCUGAACUAUCCGUUCAGACCCCAGUCCUACCUACAUACAGGUUAUAGAAAAGAGCAGAAGCUCUGAACUAUCCGUUCAGACCCCAGUCCUACCUACAUACAGGUUAUAGAAAAGAGCAGAAGCUCUGAACUAUCCGUUCAGACCCCAGUCCUACCUACAUACAGGUUAUAGAAAAGAGCAGAAGCUCUGAACUAUCCGUUCAGACCCCAGUCCUACCUACAUACA